rnacentral:rRNA from 1 species
CCAGACUCCUACGGGAGGCAGCAGUGAGGAAUCUUCCACAAUGGGCGAAAGCCUGAUGGAGCAACGCCGCGUGAAGGAUGAAGGCCUUCGGGUUGUAAACUUCUUUUAUAAGUGAGGAAUAUGACGGUAGCUUAUGAAUAAGGAUCGGCUAACUACGUGCCAGCAGCCGCGGUCAUACGUAGGAUCCGAGCGUUAUCCGGAGUGACUGGGCGUAAAGAGUUGCGUAGGCGGUUUGUUAAGUGAAUAGUGAAAUCUGGUGGCUCAACCAUACAGGCUAUUGUUCAAACUGUACAACUUGAGAGUGGUAGAGGUCACUGGAAUUUCUUGUGUAGGAGUGAAAUCCGUAGAUAUAAGAAGGAACACCAAUGGCGUAGGCAGGUGACUGGACCAUUUCUGACGCUAAGGCACGAAAGCGUGGGGAGCGAACCGGAUUAGAUACCCGGGUAGUCCACGCCGUAAACGAUGGAUACUGGCUGUUGGAGGUAUCGACCCCUUCAGUAGCGAAGCUAACGCGUUAAGUAUCCCGCCUGUGGAGUACGGCCGCAAGGCUAAAACAUAAAGGAAUUGACGGGGGCCCGCACAAG